rfam:Solanum tuberosum cultivar DM 1-3 516 R44 scf00138_65, whole genome shotgun sequence.
UUGAAGAAUUUGAAGACUUCAACUUGCAUACUUGAAAGAUUUAAAGAUUUCAACUUGCAUGCUUAGAGGAUUUGAAGACUUCAACU